rnacentral:lncRNA from 1 species
AACGUGUCAAAAUGAAGCGCUACGUCAUGUCUACCUAGACUCUGCUUAAACGGUGAGUUUUGCACAAUACAUCUGCUUUUUGCAAAUUAACUUAUUAAAAUCCUAAAAAAAAAACUCCAUGACUUCUUUACCAAAUCCAACUUAAUAAAAAAAAAAAAAAAAAAAAAAAAAAGAAUUGUCAUUUCAAUUUCUCUCAUCUCCCUGCCAAUGUUUAUUUUCAGCCGAACCAAGAGGCGCAACCACCAUACAACUCAAGCCCAUGUCCUGCGAAUAUGUUCACAUCCAUCUUGAAGACUAUUGAUGUCGAGGAGAGAAAAAUCAACGUUGAAGUUUAUGGUGGCCGCUUCUUCCUUUUUUUUUUUCAAAUUAUGCCAUUAUCCGCCACUGAUCAACGCCCAUCACCUUCAGCAGCAAGUUCCCUAGCCUUAACUCUCUCACUUCCUCAAGUUACAGUGCCUGCCUCGAUCUCCUAUAUCCUCUACCAGUGAUGGUGCAAGACAAACUUUUAUUUCUACUCUUUUUUUUUUUUUUUUUGCUAAUGUUUCUUUAAUUUUUCUAUUAGUAGAGCGAAAUCUUGAAGCAUUGGUAUAUUUUAUUGGAUUUCGUAGUUGAUCUAAUUGAACUCCAUAUUUUUUGUUUCCAAAGUGUUAUGCUCUGUUUUUGGAUUUUGGCCGAUACUUUUGUGUUCUUUUUGCUUUUUGUUUACCUGCUUUUAUUGGCUGUUUUUUUCUUUUAAUAUUUUGUUUAAUCUUUAGCUCUGUUUUUCUGUUUUUUUCUUAAAUUUAAAAAUUGUGUUAAAUACUUAAAAAAAACCGCUAAAGGUUAGAAAUUUAAUUUACAAUUAGGGUCCAAAAUGGCUCAAAAAAGUGCAAACUUUCUUUCCCCUCACAUUUAUAGGGUAGAGCUACUGUCUGUGGAUUGUGAAAAGACUUGCUAUGAUCGCACGUAUACUAAUCUGCUUCUAGAAGUUUCUUAUGCAGAAACUUUCACAUGAAACAAGAAUCCCCAAGGGCAAUCCAUCCUCUANNN